CAUAUACUCCCUCCAUCCAGAAAUACUUGUCAUAGAAAUGGAUACAAAUGGAUAUAUCUAGAACUAAAAUACAUCUAGAUACAUCCAUUUCUUGGACAAGUAUUUCUGGACGGAGUGAGUAUUUA
rnacentral:pre_miRNA from 1 species